rnacentral:misc_RNA from 1 species
AACCAUUCUCACCUGCGGCUAGACCUGCGGAAGGAUCAUUAUCGUUGGGCUCCUGCCCAUUCGAGAUAACACCCUUGCCUUUUUGAGUACCUUUUCGUUUCCUCGGCAGGCACGCCUGCCAACGGGGACCCUUCAAAACGCUUUGUAAUACCUGUCAUUGUCUGAUAUAACAAGCAAAAAUCAAAACUUUUAGCAACGGAUCU